UACGUAGGGUGCAAGCGUUAAUCGGAAUUACUGGGCGUAAAGCGUGCGCAGGCGGUUAUGUAAGACAGAUGUGAAAUGCCCGGGCUUAACCCUGGGCGUGCAGUGGAUACGGGCUGGCUGGAGGCAGGCAGGGGAGAACGGAAUUCCCGGUGUAGCGGUGAAAUGCGCAGAUAUCGGGAGGAACACCGGUGGCGAAGGCGGGUCUCUGGACAGUUCCUGACGGCUGAGGCACGAAGGCCAGGGGAGCAAACGGG
rnacentral:rRNA from 1 species